GUCUGUUUGGUGCUAUAAAGAGUCUGACCUGCCCACUGACUAAAGUUGAUUUAAGGGCCGCAGUAUUAUGACUGUGCAAAGGUAGCAUAAUCAUUAGGUUUUUAAAUGAGAUCUUGUAUGAAUGGUUGGACAAAGGAGGAUCUGUCUUAAUUUUAAAAUUUGAAUUUUACUUUUAAGUGAGAAGGCUUAAAUAUUUUAGGGGGACGAUAAGACCCUAUAAAGCUUUACAUAAGGAUUACAUUUAAUUGAAUUUAUAAAUUUAAAAGUUCUAUGUGAUUAUUUGUUUUAUUGGGGCGGUAGAGGCAGAAGUGAAUUAUAGCUGCCUGUAAAAUAAACAUUUGUUUGUGGGGUAAAUAGUAAUAGAUCCUGGUUAUAGAUUUGAAGUUUAAGUUACUUUAGGGAUAACAGUAUAAUUUUUUUUAAGAGUUCAUAUCGAAAAGAAAGUUUGUAACCUCGAUGUUGAAUUAAAAUGUCUACACGAUGUAGUUGUUGUGUAAGAGGGUCUGUUCGA
rnacentral:rRNA from 3 species